CCUUUUGUAUAAUGGGUCAGCGACUUAUAUUCUGUAGCAAGGUUAACCGAAUAGGGGAGCCGAAGGGAAACCGAGUCUUAACUGGGCGUUAAGUUGCAGGGUAUAGACCCGAAACCCGGUGAUCUAGCCAUGGGCAGGUUGAAGGUUGGGUAACACUAACUGGAGGACCGAACCGACUAAUGUUGAAAAAUUAGCGGAUGACUUGUGGCUGGGGGUGAAAGGCCAAUCAAACCGGGAGAUAGCUGGUUCUCCCCGAAAGCUAUUUAGGUAGCGCCUCGUGAAUUCAUCUCCGGGGGUAGAGCACUGUUUCGGCAAGGGGGUCAUCCCGACUUACCAACCCGAUGCAAACUGCGAAUACCGGAGAAUGUUAUCACGGGAGACACACGGCGGGUGCUAACGUCCGUCGUGAAGAGGGAAACAACCCAGACCGCCAGCUAAGGUCCCAAAGUCAUGGUUAAGUGGGAAACGAUGUGGGAAGGCCCAGACAGCCAGGAUGUUGGCUUAGAAGCAGCCAUCAUUUAAAGAAAGCGUAAUAGCUCACUGGUCGAGUCGGCCUGCGCGGAAGAUGUAACGGGGCUAAACCAUG
rnacentral:rRNA from 1 species